CAUCUUGUACAGGAUGUAGGCAUUAUUGACAGCGACGCUGAUAGCAAACCAGAACACCUGCUGCCAGGUCUUGUUGGGUUUGUGAGAGGUGAAGUACUUUCUGUACUUGUCAUCGUAUCUGCAGAUGUAGCUGAGGUGGGUGGCAAAGGCCUGUACAGCCAGGGGACAGGGGAUCUGUCCACCUCUCCUCUUAAUGAUGACACCUUGCUGCACCAGAGAAUAGGCAUUGGUAAGGAAGCUGAAGCGGCUCUUAUUAUAGCGGCAGAUCAGGGACAUAGUCCGCUACAUCUUGAUCUGGUGCUGGCCAUGGGCAGGGGGCGUGGCCAGGCUGGCCAGCAUGGAUGGUGGGAAGCAUGUACCGUCACUCUUCCCAGGGCUAAGCAGACCACAGCAUGGAAGAUGCCCUGCAGGGCAUCCAGGAAAGGCUGGACCUUAUAGAGCCACGUGCCACCCUGCCUUGGAGCCAGCUGAUUAUGGACUGAAACCUCUACAAGCUGUGAGCUAAAUAAACUUUUCCUUCCUUAAAUUUGGGUGUCAGGUAUUUUGUCUCGGCAACAGGAGAAAAGUAACCAAGACACUCAUGGAAGCUAAAUAAGGCUUUUGUCAAGAAAAAAGAAAAUAUUUUUGAGGGCAAGCAAGAUAUAGAAGUCAACACAUAUGACGAAGAUUCUCACUGGGAAGUUUAUCUUAUCCCAGAGGAUAUCAAGAAAGACCCCAAGCAAUAGCAUGCCUGGCACAAAUACUUUGUACAAUUUUUGCAGCUCAAAUGAUGUCAAGAUAGCCUCGCUUACGUUGCAACAGAAACUCUCAAGAGUUCUGUGACUGCUGGGCAUAGUGGCCCACACUUAUAAUCCCAGCACUCAGGAGGCUGAGGCAGGAGGAUUGCCUGAGAUUGAGGACAGCCUGGACUACACAGUGAGUUCAAGACUAGCCUGGACUACAUAGUGAGACCCUUUCUCAAAACAUUUUUAAAAAAGAGUUCUGUGACUUACAGCAAUCUGCAAACUACAGUCUUGUGGCCAACUGGCCCUUCAUCUGUUUUUAUAAAGUUUUAUUGGAACACAGCCACGUCUACUCAAGUACAUAUUUUCUGUACACCUAGAGCAAAGUUGAUUGGUUGUACAUAGACGGUAGAGUGUGCAGCACCUAAAAUACUAUCUCUUCCUUUAAAGAAAAACGUACAUAUUACCCUCCUAUCAUAUUAUUUUGAAUUUUUUUCUUUAAAAUAAAAAAGAAAAAGAAUGUUCAGGGGAGGAGGGGAGAGGUUGAAGGGAGAGUAGGGGAGUGGAGGAAAAAAGAAGUUAUAUCAUAUAUAGAUACAAAUUCUCUAUGAUGAAUGUGAUCUGUGUAAAAAAUAAUAAAAUAAAUGUUGGACAGCCACCUGUGGCUGAUGGCUACCGUACUGGGGAAAAAAAAGAAAAAAAAGAAAAGAAAAAUUUGCAAACUCCUGUCUUAAAACUGAUACACAUGCAUCACAGUUCAGUAGAACACUCUGCUCGGGGUCGUCACUCAGGAGAUGCAGGCUGAUGGGGAAGCAUUACUGUGCUGUAUGGAAAGAGAACACUAGUAGUUAAAUGCUCUGCACAGGCAAACAUGCAAGGUGAGCCUUCGUCAUAUGACCCCGCCCAACCAGGAGGGGCUCAUGGGAUGACGUUCUGUCAGAAACUGGGUGAAUCUAAAACACCUGGUGAACACGCAUGGCUGUCUGCUUUCACUUCUUGCAUGCAGCUUUUUCAUCUCAUUCUUUUGAUAUUCUGACCUUCUUUCAGUAUCAGCAAGUCCAGGAAGACCAGUAAAUACAAAACAAAACAAGCCUUUUGACUGACUUCCUGACCAGCCCAACGCCAUGAUCUCAGUAAGCCAAAUGUGUCUGUUUCUCCUUGACAGGGACAGGACUAAAAGCUUUUAUGUGAUUUUUCUACUAUGUUACUGUCAUGCUACAGCCUUUUUUUCCUCCUAAUCUAAAGCCAUACAGUAAUAUAAGGUCUUUUUUGUUGUUGUUUUUGUUUUUUUUCUGGUACCGGGAAUCGAACUCACAACCUUGCCCUUGCCAGGCAGGCACUGUGCUGCUGAGCUAAAUCCCCAGCCCCCAUAGGGUCAUUUUAUCACUGAAGAAGUAGGACAUACCCUUUGGUUUUCCCAGCUGAAUAUGUCUAUGUGUGGAGAACACUUUCACAAGAGUUCCCAAACCAUGGUUCUAAAGUUAUACAACAAAAAAAUAAAAAUAAAAAAGUUAUACAACAUAUUAUUAUGGUUGUUUGGUUUUUUUUCUUGGUCUUUUUGAGACAGGGUCUCACUAUGCAGUUCAGGCUGGACUUGAGCUCACUUUGGAGCUCAGGCGAGUCUCGAACUCACAACAAUCCUCCUGCCUCAGCCUCACGAGCGCUGGGAUUACAGGCGUGCGCCACCAGGCCCAGCUUGUCCACCUUUUCUUAAUUGUAAUGACAGUUAAAACUACAGCAUCCUAAUUUGUAGAAGUACAAUACAUUUAGAAUAUAUUUUCAGUUUUCAAAAACUACUAUCAUUUCUUCUUUUUUUUGAGACAAGGUCUCACUGUGUAGUCCAGACUGGCCUUGAACUCGCUUAUGUAGCCCAGGCUGGCCUCAAACUCACAAUGAUCCUCCUGUCUCAGCCUCCCAAGUGCUAGGAUUACAGGCCUGCACCACUAUGCCCGGCUUAUCAUUUCUUAAUGAGCAUUGUUAGAAGCUAUAUGAUGUGUUCAGCAUCAUAGAUUAAAUACUUUAGCCACAGCAAUAAAAUCUUUCAUAGAGUUACUUGUGCGAGUUGCAUAUUUUUUAAUUUAACUGCACCAUUGUUUUCAUGUUGGUCUGGGCUAUUUUUUUUUUUUUUCCUUUUUGUGGGGACAGGAUCUCAUUCUGUAAUUCAGACUGGCCUUGAACUCAAGCAAUCCUCCUGCCUCAGCCUCCCGAGUACUAGGAUUACAGGCAUGGGCCAUCAUGCCCAGCUUAUGUUUGCUUUUGAGACAGAGUCUCAUUAUGUAGCUCAGGCUCAUUUUAAACUCACUGUACAGCUCAGGCUGGCCUUGAACUCAAGCAAUCCUCCUGC
rnacentral:lncRNA from 1 species